rnacentral:lncRNA from 1 species
AAAUACCACCUUCAACCAUUAGAACCUCUCAACCUCCACCUGUUCUAAAAAUUGCCCGUACUUUUACAACAACCUCUGACCCUAAUCAACUAUAUCACCACAGUUCUUCCUCAUCCUCUGAGUAUGAGUCACCACCUUACCUUUCCCCUUCUUCUAACCAAGAGUCCUCUGAUCAUGAGUCUUCUGAUCAAGAACACUCUGACCCAAACUCCCCA